rnacentral:rRNA from 1 species
CCUACGGGAGGCAGCAGUGGGGAAUAUUGCACAAUGGGCGCAAGCCUGAUGCAGGCAUGCCGCGUGUAUGAAGAAGGCCUUCGGGUUGUAAAGUACUUUCAGCGGGGAGGAAGGCGACGGGGUUAAUAACCGCGUCGAUUGACGUUACCCGCAGAAGAAGCACCGGCUAACUCCGUGCCAGCAGCCGCGGUAAU